ACCUUCGUGGUGUAAUGGUCAGUACACUCGGCGCGUAUUUGAGAAGUCUAUGGUUCGAAUCCCAGUGAGGGUA
rnacentral:tRNA from 1 species